GGAGAGGUGCGAGAGCGGUUGAAUCGGGCGGUCUCGAAAACCGUUGUCCCGCUUGCGGGACCGUGGGUUCGAAUCCCACCCUCUCCG
rnacentral:tRNA from 1 species